rnacentral:rRNA from 1 species
AUGCAAGUCGAACGAUGAAGCCCAGCUUGCUGGGCGGAUUAGUGGCGAACGGGUGAGUAAUACGUGAGUAACCUGCCUUUAACUCUGGGAUAAGCCUUGGAAACGGGGUCUAAUACCGGAUACGACCAACCCUCGCAUGGGGUGUUGGUGGAAAGGGAUUUUGUACUGGUUUUAGAUGGGCUCACGGCCUAUCAGCUUGUUGGUGAGGUAACGGCUCACCAAGGCGACGACGGGUAGCCGGCCUGAGAGGGUGACCGGCCACACUGGGACUGAGACACGGCCCAGACUCCUACGGGAGGCAGCAGUGGGGAAUAUUGCACAAUGGGCGCAAGCCUGAUGCAGCGACGCCGCGUGAGGGAUGACGGCCUUCGGGUUGUAAACCUCUUUCAGCAGGGGAGAAGCGAAAGUGACGGUA